UGAAGCCUGCCAAUGCCCCCCUCUGCUCCACGUGGCAUGGCACUGCAGCAACUCCCCGCCCGUGUGGGCCCGUGCAGUUGCACCGCCUGCACACGCGGCAGGAGACGUGGCCGCUGGUGGUGUGCCGCGUGCUCGUAGUUUUAGUGGACUGUAUCGUCCUUGCCCGCACAGGAAAUCAAAGUGGAGCCUGGGACGCGUCACGCAGCCGCCCCUACCUGCUGCCGGUGUGCGGACACGCGUCUCGUGUGGAGCAUGCCUGCAGGACAAAGGCACGCGCACGCGCGGGCUGCGAGUUUGUGUGCCCGACCUGCAAGGUCCCCGGCCUCCUACCUGCAGCCCGACGAAGCGCUUGGAAAUUUCCUACCCACG